AAUAUUGGACAAUGGGCGCAAGCCUGAUCCAGCCAUGCCGCGUGAGUGAUGAAGGCCCUAGGGUUGUAAAGCUCUUUUGUGCGGGAAGAUAAUGACGGUACCGCAAGAAUAAGCCCCGGCUAACUUCGUGCCAGCAGCCGCGGUAAUACGAAGGGGGCUAGCGUUGCUCGGAAUCACUGGGCGUAAAGGGUGCGUAGGCGGGUCUUUAAGUCAGGGGUGAAAUCCUGGAGCUCAACUCCAGAACUGCCUUUGAUACUGAGGAUCUUGAGUUCGGGAGAGGUGAGUGGAACUGCGAGUGUAGAGGUGAAAUUCGUAGAUAUUCGCAAGAACACCAGUGGCGAAGGCGGCUCACUGGCCCGAUACUGACGCUGAGGCACGAAAGCGUGGGGAGCAA
rnacentral:rRNA from 1 species